CCAGACUCCUACGGGAGGCAGCAGUGAGGAAUAUUGGUCAAUGGGCGGAAGCCUGAACCAGCCAAGUCGCGUGAGGGAAGAAGGCCCUGCGGGUCGCAGACCUCUUUGGACGGGGAGCAAGGCCGCCGACGUGUCGGCGGAAGGAGAGUACCCGUAGAACAAGCAUCGGCUAACUCCGUGCCAGCAGCCGCGGUAAUACGGAGGAUGCGAGCGUUAUCCGGAUUUAUUGGGUUUAAAGGGUGCGUAGGCGGACUGGAAAGUCAGGGGUAAAAGCGAGAGGCUCAACCUCUUUCCGCCGUUGAAACUGUCGGUCUUGAGUGGGCGAGAAGUAUGCGGAAUGCGUGGUGUAGCGGUGAAAUGCAUAGAUAUCAGGAGGAACACCGGUGGCGAAGGCGGCCUGCUGGACUGUAACUGACACUGAGGCUCGAAAGCGUGGGGAGCAAACAGGAUUAGAUACCCCGGUA
rnacentral:rRNA from 1 species